rnacentral:rRNA from 1 species
UACGGAGGGGGCAAGCGUUGCUCGGAAUCACUGGGCGUAAAGCGUACGCAGGCGGCUCGUUAAGUCGGGUGUGAAAGCCCGGGGCUCAACCCCGGAACUGCAUUCGAAACUGGCGAGCUUGAAUACGGGAGAGGGAAGCGGAAUUCCUGGUGUAGAGGUGAAAUUCGUAGAUAUCAGGAGGAACACCUGUGGCGAAAGCGGCUUCCUGGCCCGAUAUUGACGCUCAGGUACGAAAGCGUGGGGAGCAAACAGG